GCAGUGGGGAAUAUUGCACAAUGGGGGAAACCCUGAUGCAGCAACGCCGCGUGAAGGAAGACGGUUUUCGGAUUGUAAACUUCUGUUCUUAGUGAAGAAUUUUGACGGUAGCUAAGGAGCAAGCCACGGCUAACUACGUGCCAGCAGCCGCGGUAAUACGUAGGUGGCAAGCGUUGUCCGGAUUUACUGGGUGUAAAGGGCGCGUAGGCGGACUGUCAAGUCAGUCGUGAAAUACCGGGGCUUAACCCCGGGGCUGCGAUUGAAACUGACAGCCUUGAGUAUCGGAGAGGAAAGCGGAAUUCCUAGUGUAGCGGUGAAAUGCGUAGAUAUUAGGAGGAACACCAGUGGCGAAGGCGGCUUUCUGGACGACAACUGACGCUGAGGCGCGAAAGUGUGGGGAGCAAACAGGAUUAGAUACCCUGGUAGUCCACACCGUAAACGAUGGAUACUAGGUGUAGGAGGUAUCGACCCCUUCUGUGCCGCAGUUAACACAAUAAGUAUCCCACCUGGGGAGUACGACCGCAAGGUUGAAACUCAAAGGAAUUGACGGGGGCCCGCACAAGCAGUGGAGUAUGUGGUUUAAUUCGAAGCAACGCGAAGAACCUUACCUGGGCUUGACAUCCCUGGAAUCGAGUAGAGAUACUUGAGUGCCUUCGGGAAUCAGGUGACAGGUGGUGCAUGGUUGUCGUCAGCUCGUGUCGUGAGAUGUUGGGUUAA
rnacentral:rRNA from 1 species